rnacentral:rRNA from 1 species
CCUACGGGAGGCAGCAGUGGGGAAUAUUGCGCAAUGGGCGAAAGCCUGACGCAGCGACGCCGCGUGAGGGAUGACGGUCUUCGGAUCGUAAACCUCUGUCAGCAGGGAAGAACGGUCACUGUGCUAUUCAGCAGUGAAUUGACGGUACCUGCAAAGGAAGCACCGGCUAACUCCGUGCCAGCAGCCGCGGUAAUACGGAGGGUGCGGGCGGUAAUAGGUAUUACUGGGCGUAAAGCGCUCGUAGGAGGUAUGUCAAGUCAAGGGUGAAAGCCCCGCGCUCAACCGGGGAACUGCAUUUGAAACUGGCAAACUGGAGUGUGGGAGAGGAUGGUGGAAUUCGAGGUGUAGGAGUGAAAUCCGUAGAUAUCUGGAGGAACAUCAGUGGCGAAGGCGACUAUCUGGAACAUAACUGACGCUGAGGAGCGAAAGCGUGGGUAGCAAACAGGAUUAGAUACCCUAGUAGUC